UCAGACGCCCCCAAAUCACAGUGCUCAUCCCUGUCAGACGGCGAAUCGUUCGAGUGCUACGGCGAUAAUGAUAUUUCGAUUUCGGAAAACGGUGGCGUCGAUCUCGAGUUAGCCCCAACGCUCAAUUCCACAGCCAUUGGCGAAAACAACAACAAUAACAACAAAGACAGCAACGGCAACAGUACCGCGGCCGGCAUCACCCGACACACCUGGAGCCGAACGAGCUUACGUGGUGCGCCCAAAAGCCAAAACAACGAAAAUCUGCCAAACCGCCGCUGGGGUUCGAUGCGACAGUAAGUAGUUUUGAACAGUUAUUGUGUGACUGUUUUUUUUUGUCAAUUCUCUUGAUUAGUUGAAUUAAACUUACAUAAUAAUCC